GCCGCGGUGGUGGAGUUGGUAUACACAGGAGACUUAAAAUCUCCCGCCCGUAAGGGCUCGUAGCGGUUCGAGCCCGCUUCGAGGCACCA
rnacentral:tRNA from 1 species